rnacentral:rRNA from 1 species
GGCUUAACACAUGCAAGUCGAGGGGUAACAGGGAUUGCUUGCAAUCCGCUGACGACCGGCGCACGGGUGCGUAACGCGUAUGCAACCUACCUUUUACAAGGGGAUAGCCCAGAGAAAUUUGGAAUAAUACCCUAUACGAUCAUUAAUUGGCAUCAAUUAAUGAAGAAAACUCCGGUGGUAAAAGAUGGGCAUGCGUCCUAUUAGUUAGUUGGUAAGGUAACGGCUUACCAAGACUUCGAUAGGUAGGGGUCCUGAGAGGGAGAUCCCCCACACUGGUACUGAGACACGGACCAGACUCCUACGGGAGGCAGCAGUGAGGAAUAUUGGACAAUGGAGGCAACUCUGAUCCAGCCAUGCCGCGUGCAGGAAGACGGCCCUACGGGUUGUAAACUGCUUUUAUACAGGAAGAACUAUAUCUACGUGUAGAUAUUUGACGGUACUGUACGAAUAAGGAUCGGCUAA